GGGAGCUGUUGAUGUCUGAAACCCACAGCUGGACUCCCUCUUUCCCUGCUGUCUGUUGAGCCGGUAAACGCAGUGGGGUGAAGCCGGUUGAGGGGGAUUUGAGCCUCACUUUCCUCACCUUCCCCCAUGGUUGAGGAAGAUUUCUCUCUCAGGGGAUUAUACCCUCUUUUAAUUAAUCUCUUCUCCUACCCUCGACUGUUCUGCUGAGAAAAGGGCAGGGUCUCUUCCCUUCUCCGGGUUCUGUUGGCUGGGACUGCAGGGCUGUCUGAGAAGCAGCAGGGGUGCUUUCUCUGUGGUCCGCAGGUGUGUGAAGAAAACCUCCACGCAGGAAUAUGCAGCAAAAAUCAUCAAUACCAAGAAGUUAUCUGCCCGGGAUCACCAGAAACUAGAACGUGAGGCCCGGAUAUGCCGACUUUUGAAACAUCCAAACAUUGUGUUACUGGCGGGGAGCUGUUUGAAGACAUUGUGGCCAGAGAGUACUACAGUGAAGCUGAUGCCAGCCACUGUAUACAUCAGAUUCUGGAGAGUGUUAACCACAUCCACCAGCAUGACAUCGUCCACCGGGACCUGAAGCCUGAGAACCUGCUGCUGGCGAGUAAAUGCAAGGGUGCCGCCGUCAAGCUAGCUGAUUUUGGCCUAGCCAUCGAAGUACAGGGAGAGCAACAGGCUUGGUUUGGUUUUGCUGGCACCCCAGGUUACUUGUCCCCUGAGGUCUUGAGGAAAGAUCCCUAUGGAAAACCUGUGGAUAUCUGGGCCUGCGGGGUCAUCCUGUAUAUCCUCCUGGUGGGCUACCCUCCCUUUUGGGAUGAGGAUCAGCAUAAGCUGUAUCAACAGAUCAAGGCUGGAGCCUAUGACUUCCCAUCACCAGAGUGGGACACGGUGACUCCUGAAGCCAAGAACUUGAUCAACCAGAUGCUGACUAUAAACCCCGCAAAGCGUAUCACAGCUGACCAGGCUCUCAAACACCCAUGGGUCUGCCAACGGUCCACAGUGGCAUCUAUGAUGCAUCGUCAAGAGACUGUGGAGUGCUUGCGCAAGUUCAAUGCCCGGAGAAAACUAAAGGGUGCCAUCCUUACGACCAUGCUUGUCUCCAGGAACUUUUCAGUUGGCAGGCAGAGCUCCGCCCCCGCCUCGCCUGCCGCGAGCGCCGCCGGCCUGGCCGGGCAAGCUGCCAAAAGCCUAUUGAACAAGAAGUCGGAUGGCGGUGUCAAGAAAAGGAAGUCGAGUUCCAGCGUGCACCUAAUGCCACAGAGCAACAACAAAAACAGUCUCGUAAGCCCAGCCCAAGAGCCUGCGCCCUUGCAGACGGCCAUGGAGCCUCAAACCACCGUGGUGCACAAUGCUACAGAUGGGAUCAAGGGCUCCACAGAGAGCUGCAAUACCACCACAGAAGAUGAGGACCUUAAAGCUGCCCCGCUCCGCACUGGGAAUGGCAGCUCGGUGCCUGAAGGACGGAGCUCCCGGGACAGAACAGCCCCCUCUGCAGGCAUGCAGCCCCAGCCUUCUCUCUGCUCCUCAGCCAUGCGAAAACAGGAGAUCAUUAAGAUCACAGAACAGCUGAUUGAGGCCAUCAACAAUGGGGACUUUGAGGCCUACACGAAGAUUUGUGAUCCAGGCCUCACCUCCUUUGAGCCUGAGGCCCUUGGUAACCUGGUGGAAGGGAUGGAUUUCCAUAAGUUUUACUUUGAGAAUCGUGAGUGGGUUCGUGCUGCUGAGAUACUCCUGCCUGCCCCUCACCCCCUGCUUGCUCGCCUUCUCCUCUUCCCCAUUGCCCGCGUUUCCCUUACUGACCUGCCUGCCACACCCUGGGCUGUGUGCUUGCCUCCUUGUGCCCAGAGGAUGGUCUUAAACUGUACCUUUGAAGGCCCUCCUCCAGCCCCGUGUGCCCCUCCAUCCUGCAGCUGCCCCUCAGCAAUGCCAGUUGCCAUGAUCAGGGUCACUGUAUUGCUUUAAGACUCACCUCUUUCCAAGAUGCUGGGAAACCAUUUGUGGUUAGGUUGAGGUGAUCUCAACGAGUCAUGAUGAAGCUCUGUGUCCGCAGGUUUUCACAAUAGAGGAAAUUAAAACCAGGAUAAGAAUGUGCAAGCGAGUAGCAGGGCACUGUGGGUGAUCGUGAGAUCAGAAGCUGUGGCUAGGGUCCUCCUCCUGGCCACGCAGGGAGACGGGAGGCCCAGCUGGGGCUGGGGUUUGGGGGGGUACCCUCUGGACAGUCCCUGCAAGUCCCAGAGGAUAAAGAAGCUGACCCAUCACCUCCCAGCUUUCUCUCCACUCUCUAAGACCAUCCUCCUCCUCAUUUUUUUCUCAUCUUUUGCACUUUAUUCUGGGCCUUCCCCAUCCUGCCCUUUUAUUUCCUCACUCUUUUCUCUACUAACUACCAUCCUCUCCAUGUCUCAGUUUCACCUAGGUUAGCUAAGUAAUUGUUAGCCAGGAGCAAUUCCAGAGUUUGUAGACGCUCCCUGGAAGGUCUCACGUAGCCCCUGACAUUAGAAUUGAACUGAAACGUGAAUCUCAAUAUAUGCAACACAAGGCACGGUGUUUGCUGGGAUAAUGCAAUCCCUCUUCUUUUGGUUCCCCCACUAGAGAAUCCUGGGAACCCUGGGGAAUAUACUGAGCUUGGUGCCUUAGUGAUCUUUUUUAAACUUUGGACCUUUUAAAAUCAGCAAUCAGUUUUAACUAUUUUAAGUUCUUGACUUUGCUCUACAGCCCUAAUUAUGGACAAACCAACCCUCAUGAAAGCUCAACUCGCCUAACAGUAGAAAGAUCAUCAUAGGCUUCCAUUAAGAUGGUCCUGAGUUCAAAUAUUGUGUGAUUUGGGCAAAUUACUUCACUUCCUUGAGCCUAUUUCCUCAUCUUAUAAUGAAGAAAAUAAUACUGACCAAGGAAUAUAGCUUAUACGUGUAAACCCCCCAGCACAAUGCCAGAUUAAAAUAGUAGCUGCUAUUAUCAUUUUUCCCUACCUUUCUCUUCCUUUUGAAUAACCAAGACUAAUCUGAUGGGAUUUCCUGGCCUCUGGAAGGUAUACAGGGGACUUGGAGACUCCACAAUGGUUGCAAGAGAGAGACAGACUUGGGAAGUGCGGGCUGGGAGGAAAAUGCCAGUGCCCAGGCCUGACACCCUCCUACCUACCCCACCCUACCCUGCUCCCUACAGUCUUAUCCAAGAACAGCAAGCCCAUCCACACCACCAUCCUGAACCCGCAUGUCCACGUGAUCGGAGAGGACGCAGCUUGCAUCGCCUAUAUCCGCCUCACCCAGUACAUCGAUGGGCAGGGUCGGCCUCGCACCAGCCAGUCGGAGGAGACCCGGGUCUGGCACCGCCGGGAUGGCAAGUGGCUCAAUGUCCACUACCACUGCUCAGGGGCCCCUGCCGCACCGCUGCAGUGAGCUCAGCCACAGGGGCAUAAGGAGAUCCCAGCCGGAGGUCAAACCUUCGCAGCCAGUGGCUCUGGAGGGCCUGAGCGACAGUGGCAGUUCUGUUCGUUUGAGGUUUAAAACAAUUAAAUUACAAAGCGGCAGCAGCCAAUGCACGCCCCUGCAUGCAGCCCUCCCGCCCGCCCUUCGUGUCUGUCUCUGCUGUACCGAGGUGUUUUUUACAUUUAAGGAAAAAAAAAAAAAAAAAAAAGAUUGUUUUAAAAAAAAAUGGGAUCCAUACCAUGAUGCGUUUUAAAACCACCGAUAGCCCUUGGACUAGCAAGAAGGCAGGAGUUUGUGUGAUGCCCAUCCUGGCACAAGCACUGGGCUCACCCACCAGCCCUGAAGAGGUGAGCUCAACCUCUGGCCUCCAUGGACUCGGGGGGCCAGGCAAAGACUGACAGAGCUUUGGGGGCUGUGAUGUGAUUGCAGCCCCUGAGGUGGCCUGCCCGCCCCAGGUCUAGGAAUGGACUUCUUCAGAAUUUGUAUACGCACCUAGAAUGAGGCUGAUGAGAAGAACAUCGUGGCCAUCAGACCUACUUGGGAGAGAACUCAGAGCUCCCAGCCUGCUGUGGAGGCAGCUGAAAAGCAGUGGCCUCAGGACUGAGAAGCAGUGGCCCGGACGUUGCUGUACUGUACCAUGUAGUGUAGAAGGGAAGAGAAUUGGUGCUGCAGAAGUGUGUCCGCUACGAAGCUGAUGAGAAACCUCGUGUUAGUCUGACAUGCACUCACUUACUCAUCCAUUUCUAUAGGAUGCACAAUGCACGUGGGCCCUGAUAUAGAGGCCCAAUCCUUGCAGCUGGGAAGUGGGAGGGGUUGCCGCUUUGCUUCGUGUUUGUUUUCUUAUAACUUAGCAAGGAGAGAGCCAGGCCUUGGUCUCGGCUCCCGCUGCUGCCCUUGGCAGUUCUGUUUCUGUGCUGAUUCGGACCAUCUUUGUCUUGCCUUUUCACAGUGGUGGUCCCUGUGCCGACCCUCAUCUGGGCCUGGGCCCUCUGCCAAGUGGGAUGGGAGGAGUAAGGCAGUGGGAUUGAGUUGAUGGUUGUUUCUAUGCAUUCAGGCUGCCCUCAGGGGUGCCUCCCUCCUUACUCUUCCCGUCCUGCACGCCCAUCUCUUUUCCUGUCUUUGAGAUUGACCUGACUACUCUGGCAAGAAGAGGAGGUGUCCUCUUUAAAGAGGCGUCUCUUUACUGACCACCUGAAGUACAGACUUAUUGCUGGACAGUCUGCAUGGGCAUCACCCCCACCCUCACCUGCAUGUACCCAAAAGAGAUGUCCAGAGCCAAGGCUCCUACAUUCAUUGUCCCUCUCUGUGCUCAAGGAGUUCCAUUCCAGGAGGGAAAAAUUUAUGCUUUAAGCAGACAGCAGAGAAGAUAAUGGAGGAGCAAUUGGUCAUGGCCUUGGUUCCCCCCAAAACAACUGUGCAGACCUGUCUGCACUAUUGGGGGAAAAGAUGGGUAGACCCUAGCUCCCCGGACUGCCUUAAGGAAGCACAGGAGCUGGGGGAAGAGGCAAAGCUACAGGUUUACCUUGGAGCCAGCUGAGAAGAGAGCAGACUUAUAGGUGCUGGUGCUUGGAUUUAGCCAGGCUCCUCGGAGCACCUCCUGCAUGCCCCAGCCCCUGGGCCCCUUACUGCCCUGCAGCCUGCAGUACCAGCACGCAGACACCUUCACCACAGGGUUUGGUUUUGCUGGCUUGAAGACAAAUGGUCUUAGAGUUCAUUAAGACCCAUAGCUUCAUAUGGCUGCUCCAGCCCCACUUCUUAAGCAUUCUUACUCCUCUUCUGGGGCUAAUGUCAGCAUCUAUAGACAAUAGACUAUUAAAAAAAAAAAACACCUUUUAAACAGGAAAUGGAAGGCAUUUGAUGCAGAAUUUUUGCAUGACGACAUAGAAAUAAUUUAAAAAUAGUGUUUGUUCUGAAUGUUGGUAGACCCUUCAUAGCUUUGUUACAAUGAAACCUUGAACUGAAGAUAUUUAAUAAAAUAACCUUUAAACAGUC